rnacentral:rRNA from 1 species
GAUGAACGCUGGCGGCGUGCUUAACACAUGCAAGUCGAACGAUGAAGCCGGAGCUUGCUCUGGUGGAUUAGUGGCGAACGGGUGAGUAACACGUGAGUAACCUGCCCUGACUCUGGGAUAAGCGCUGGAAACGGCGUCUAAUACCGGAUACGAGCUUCCACCGCAUGGUGAGUUGCUGGAAAGAAUUUCGGUCAAGGAUGGACUCGCGGCCUAUCAGCUUGUUGGUGAGUUAACGGCUCACCAAGGCGACGACGGGUAGCCGGCCUGAGAGGGUGACCGGCCACACUGGGACUGAGACACGGCCCAGACUCCUACCGGAGGCAGCAGUGGGGAAUAUUGCACAAUGGGCGCAAGCCUGAUGCAGCAACGCCGCGUGAGGGACGAAGGCAGUCGGGUCGUAAACCUCUUUUAGCAGGGAAGAAGCGAAAGUGACGGUACCUGCAGAAAAAGCACCGGCUAACUACGUGCCAGCAGCCGCCGUAA